UAACACAUGCAAGUCGAGCGGAUGACGGGGGCUUGCUCCUUGAUUCAGCGGCGGACGGGUGAGUAAUGCCUAGGAAUCUGCCUGGUAGUGGGGGACAACGUUUCGAAAGGAACGCUAAUACCGCAUACGUCCUACGGGAGAAAGCAGGGGACCUUCGGGCCUUGCGCUAUCAGAUGAGCCUAGGUCGGAUUAGCUAGUUGGUGGGGUAAUGGCUCACCAAGGCGACGAUCCGUAACUGGUCUGAGAGGAUGAUCAGUCACACUGGAACUGAGACACGGUCCAGACUCCUACGGGAGGCAGCAGUGGGGAAUAUUGGACAAUGGGCGAAAGCCUGAUCCAGCCAUGCCGCGUGUGUGAAGAAGGUCUUCGGAUUGUUAAGCACUUUAAGUUGGGAGGAAGGGCAGUAAGCUAAU
rnacentral:rRNA from 1 species